rnacentral:snRNA from 1 species
GUGCUUCCUUCGGCAGCACAUACACUAAAAUUGGAACACUAAAGGAAGAUUAGCAUGGCCCCUGCUCAAGGAUGACACGCAAAUUUGGGAAGUGUUCUGUAUAUUG